rnacentral:rRNA from 1 species
GAUGAACGCUGGCGGCGUGCCUAAUACAUGCAAGUAGAACGCUGAAGCUUGGUGCUUGCACCGAGCGGAGGAGUUGCGAACGGGUGAGUAACGCGUAGGUAACCUGCCUCUUAGCGGGGGAUAACUAUUGGAAACGAUAGCUAAUACCGCAUAAAAGUCGACAUUGCAUGAUGUUGACUUGAAAGGUGCAAAUGCAUCACUAAGAGAUGGACCUGCGUUGUAUUAGCUAGUUGGUGAGGUAACGGCUCACCAAGGCGACGAUACAUAGCCGACCUGAGAGGGUGAUCGGCCACACUGGGACUGAGACACGGCCCAGACUCCUACGGGAGGCAGCAGUAGGGAAUCUUCGGCAAUGGACGGAAGUCUGACCGAGCAACGCCGCGUGAGUGAAAAAGGUUUUCGGAUCGUAAAGCUCUGUUGUAAGAGAAGAACGAGUGUGAGAGUGGAAAGUUCACACUGUGACGGUAACUUACCAGAAAGGGACGGCUAACUACGUGCCAGCAGCCGCGGUAAUACGUAGGUCCCGAGCGUUAUCCGGAUUUAUUGGGCGUAAAGCGAGCGCAGGCGGUUAGAUAAGUCUGAAGUUAAAGGCUGUGGCUUAACCAUAGUACGCUUUUGGAAACUGUUUAACUUGAGUGCAGAAGGGGAGAGUGGAAUUCCAUGUGUAGCGGUGAAAUGCGUAGAUAUAUGGAGGAACACCGGUGGCGAAAGCGGCUCUCUGGUCUGUAACUGACGCUGAGGCUCGAAAGCGUGGGGAGCAAACAGG